rnacentral:lncRNA from 1 species
GGAGACAGUCAUAGAGAAAUGUGUUGUUGGCAUCGAUUUCCUAUGGUUGGGCAAUGGCUUCCGCCAUCUGGACCAGGUGACGUCAGCUAUCUGGAUUUCUGCCAGCAUUCCCCGGCCCAGGAAACAGACUUCCGGCUGUCUGGGCUCUGAGCCAUCUUCGGCCUCCUGGAGUUGGAUGCUGAAACUUGCAGUCACACAAGGAUUUGAACCUAGAGCUUUUCUAAAGCCUGUACUCUUUCCAGUACCCUGAGCCAGGGGAGCCAGCGGGCAGAAAUGACGUGUGAGGUACCCUCUCUCCCUUCACUUCCAUGUGAUCUGUUACUCAUUUUGUCAAGACAUCCUGGGUCCCAGGUGCCAGGUGCUACACAAGAUACUGGCUAUAGCAGUGAACAGAACAGCCUGUCUCAUCCUCAUGGAGGUCACAGGACAAUGAGAAGAAAGACUUUUUUAUUUUUAUUUUUUUGAGACGGAGUUUUGCUCUUGUUGCUGAGGCUGGAGUGCAGUGGUGUGAUCUCGACUCACGCAACCUCCGCCUCCCAAGUUCAAGCAAUUAUCCUGCCUCAGGCCUCUUGAGUAGCUGGGAUUACAGGCACCUGCCACCACUCCUGGCUAAUUUUUUGUAUUUUUAGUAGAGACGGGGGUUUCAUCAUGUUGGCCAGGCUGGUCUCGAAUUCCUGACCUCAGGUGAUCCACUCACCUCAGCCUCCCAAAGUGCAGGGAUUACAGGCAUGAGCCAUCGAACCCGGCCCAAGAAGAAAGACAUUGAACAAGUAAUUACAGGGUAUUGGGUGUUAUGAAAGAAAAGCAUGGUACUGUAUAAUGAGGUCAUCUAAUUUAGUCUGGGGUGACAAGGAAUGCCUACUAAAGAAGGUAUCAUUUAAGACAUAACUGGGGAAUAGCAGUAGUGAAAAUAGAAGCUCCAGAAAGGCAGGGACCAUGGCUGACAUGUUUACCAUGCCAGUGUCUGGCAUGGAAGAGGCACCAAUUCCUUUGGUUGAAAGGAUGAAGUAAUCUAGCUGAAUAAAGGGUGUGUGGGUGCACGCAGGUGUGUUUGUAAUUAACCUUCCUUUAGCUCAGCUUAGGAAACAGCUUUUGUAAAACUGCGUAACUAGUAGUAGGUGAGAGAGGAAUACGAAUGAUAUACACACCAUUAAAGACAAUUUACUAACAGCACGA